GCCGACGUAGCUCAAUGGCAGAGCAGCUGAUUUGUAAUCAGCAGGUUACCAGUUCGAGUCUGGUCGUCGGCUCCA
rnacentral:tRNA from 1 species